GUGUCAGCAGCCGCGGUAAGACGUAGGAGGCGAGCGUUGUCCGGAUUCAUUGGGCGUAAAGAGCGCGCAGGCGGCUUGGUAAGUCGGAUGUGAAAAUCCGAGGCUCAACCUCGGACGUGCAUCCGAUACUGCUCGGCUAGAGGUAGGUAGGGGAGAUCGGAAUUCCUGGUGUAGCGGUGAAAUGCGCAGAUAUCAGGAGGAACACCGGUGGCGAAGGCGGAUCUCUGGGCCUUACCUGACGCUCAGGCGCGAAAGCUAGGGGAGCGAACUGGAUUAGAUACCCCCGUAGUCC
rnacentral:rRNA from 1 species